UGGCCAAGGGCAUGCCCACCAGCAAACCUGCAACCCUCUCCGGAGCCGGGUGCGCAGGUUCGAAUCCUGCAGGGG
rnacentral:tRNA from 1 species